rnacentral:siRNA from 1 species
GACAAUUUGGCCGAGUGGUCUA